rnacentral:ncRNA from 1 species
UACCUGGUUGAUCCUGCCAGUAGUCAUAUGCUUGUCUCAAAGAUUAAGCCAUGCAAGUCUAAGUACGAGCUCUCGUACAGUGAAACUGCGAAUGGCUCAUUAAAUCAGUUAUGGUUCAUUUGAUCGUACAGUUUACUUGGAUAAAUGUGGUAAUUCUAGAGCUAAUACAUGCGAGAAGCGCCGACCUCGCGGGAGGCGUGCAUUUAUCAGACCAAAAACCGGCCGCGUCUUCGGGCGCGUUCGCCUUGGUGACUCUGGAUAACUUUGCGGAUCGCACGGUCUAGCACCGGCGACGGAUCAUUCAAGUGUCUGCCCUAUCAACUUUCGUCGGUACGGUAUUUGCCUACCGAGGUUCUUACGGGUGACGGGGAAUCAGGGUUCGAUUCCGGAGAGGGAGCCUGAGAAACGGCUACCACAUCCAAGGAAGGCAGCAGGCGCGCAAAUUACCCAUUCCCGACGCGGGGAGGUAGUGACGAAAAAUAACAAUGCAGGACUCGUUCGAGGCCCUGUAAUUGGAAUGAGUACACUUUAAAAGCUUUAACGAGUAUCCAUUGGAGGGCAAGUCUGGUGCCAGCAGCCGCGGUAAUUCCAGCUCCAAAAGUAUAUAUUUAAGUUGUUGCGGUUAAAAAGCUCGUAGUGAAU